rnacentral:rRNA from 1 species
AUACGGAGGGUCCGAGCGUUAUCCGGAAUCAUUGGGUUUAAAGGGUCCGCAGGCGGUCAAUUAAGUCAGAGGUGAAAUCCCAUUGCUCAACAAUGGAACUGCCUUUGAUACUGGUUGACUUGAGUUAUACGGAAGUAGAUAGAAUGUGUAGUGUAGCGGUGAAAUGCAUAGAGAUUACACAGAAUACCGAUUGCGAAGGCAGUCUACUACGUAUAUACUGACGCUGAGGGACGAAAGCGUGGGGAGCGAACAGGAUUAGAUACCCUAGUAGUCC